ACCUUUGACGAGGACAAAAAGUGUCCCAAAAAUCAGCAGGAUGCAGAGCUUCAUGUUGUUGCUUCAGCUGUGGUGAUGUUUCUCCAUCCUGAUGAUUUUUG